GUGCUUCGGUAGCUCAGUUGGUAGAGCACUUGCCCGCAAAAGGCAAAGGUCCCGAGUUCGAGUCUCGGCCCGGCACA
rnacentral:tRNA from 1 species